UACGAAGGGGGCUAGCGUUGCUCGGAAUCACUGGGCGUAAAGGGUGCGUAGGCGGGUCUUAAGUCAGGGGUGAAAUCCUGGAGCUCAACUCCAGAACUGCCUUUGAUACUGAAGAUCUUGAGUCCGGGAGAGGUGAGUGGAACUGCGAGUGUAGAGGUGAAAUUCGUAGAUAUUCGCAAGAACACCAGUGGCGAAGGCGGCUCACUGGCCCGGUACUGACGCUGAGGCACGAAAGCGUGGGGAGCA
rnacentral:rRNA from 1 species